rnacentral:rRNA from 1 species
GUGGGGAAUAUUGGACAAUGGGCGAAAGCCUGAUCCAGCCAUGCCGCGUGUGUGAAGAAGGUCUUCGGAUUGUAAAGCACUUUAAGUUGGGAGGAAGGGCAGUAAGUUAAUACCUUGCUGUUUUGACGUUACCGGCAGAAUAAGCACCGGCUAACUUCGUGCCAGCAGCCGCGGUAAUACGAAGGGUGCAAGCGUUAAUCGGAAUUACUGGGCGUAAAGCGCGCGUAGGUGGUUUUGUAAGUUGGAGGUGAAAUCCCCGGGCUCAACCUGGGAACUGCCUCCAAAACUGCAUGACUAGAGUACGGUAGAGGGUAGUGGAAUUUCCUGUGUAGCGGUGAAAUGCGUAGAUAUAGGAAGGAACACCAGUGGCGAAGGCGACUACCUGGACUGAUACUGACACUGAGGUGCGAAAGCGUGGGGAGCAAACAGGAUUAGAUACCCCUGUAGUCC